GACACCCUCUCUGACUGCUGGAGGGAAAAGGGGAGGGUCAGCCUCAUUUUUCUACCCCAUGGGUGAGGGCUUCAGCGAAUCUCACUUCAGGAGACACAGCAGCCUGCAACCACAGGCAUCCACAGGCUUUUCUUUGUUGCUCCCAAACACCUGCGAUGACAGACAUUUUCUAAAGGACAGGGGCUUGGUGUCUAAUCCUCACGAAUCCCUGCACCCCAGUCUCAAGUCUCUUCCGGGGCCUGCCAAGAAACUGACCGAGAACGAGACCCUGUGACUGCUUGGCAGUCAGCUGGAUGGACUUGGGUGGCGCCCGCCGGGAAGCAGAGGAUGGCUGCCCCCACUCGGGCUCCAGGUGACAGGUGCAGUGAGGACUCGGCCAGAGCAGCACACGCUGUUUCCUAGGAGAAUGGAACUGAGAACGAACCUCCUGACAGCCAGGAUGGAAUGUUGGCCAGGAGGGGUCAGAAGCACCUUCUCGGGUGAAUAAACAGCUUCCUCUUGCACCUGACUUCUACACACAGUAUCCAGAGCACUUACCGGACCCCGCCGCACUCUUCCCACUACCAACCAUGUCACAGUGCCCCCAUCCUCCAGAGGAAGAAACUAAGGCUCAAGAGGUUCAGCAGGGCCUCCAAGGCGAUACUACGGAUAUGCAGAAAAAACAGGAUUUGAACUCAGAUCUGUGUAAUGCCAAAAUGGGAAGACUGAGGGUCAGAGAGGUGAAGAACUUAGAAUCAUUCAUCCAGCAAAUGGCAGACCCAACGGUGGACUCCAGGCUCACUGGCUCCAGGAUCUGUGGCCUUAACCACUGUCCCAUGGGGCAUUCCUGCUGGAAGAGUCCAAGUUAUUCUGGCUGCAGGUUGGAGGACACUCUGCCAGUAGAAAGGGUGUACAAGAGAACAGUUACACUGCUCCACAGAUCAAGUUCCCGAGUGGUGUGUGAACUGAGCUGGUAGUGGUAUGCCUGGAAAGAGCAGAGUUUGAAUACUGAGGAAAUGAAAUCAGCACAGCCAGGAGCCAAAGUGAAUGUGUGGAGG
rnacentral:lncRNA from 1 species